rnacentral:rRNA from 1 species
AUUGAACGCUGGCGGCAGGCCUAACACAUGCAAGUCGAACGGUAACAGGAAGAAGCUUGCUUCUUUGCUGACGAGUGGCGGACGGGUGAGUAAUGUCUGGGAAACUGCCUGAUGGAGGGGGAUAACUACUGGAAACGGUAGCUAAUACCGCAUAACGUCGCAAGACCAAAGAGGGGGACCUUCGGGCCCCUUGCCAUCGGAUGUGCCCCGAUGGGAUUAGCUAGUAGGGGGGGGAACGGCCCACCAAGACGACGAGCCCUAGCUGCUCUGAGAGGAUGAUCCGCCACACUGGAGCUGGGGCACGGUCCAGACUCGUACGGGAGUCAGAAGUGGGGAAUAUUGGACGAUGGGCGAAUGCCUGAUGCUGGCAUACCGCGUGGGGGAGGAAGGACUUCGGGUUUUAAAGUCCUUUUGUUGGGAAAGAAAAGCAGCAGGUUAAGCACCCGCUGUUCUGACGGUACCAAAAGAAUAAGCACCGGCUAACUUCGUG